AUGAUGAUCAUGGCGGAUUUGCGGCUUGCGGAAGCGCGACUGUGCAGAGGCGGGGAGCUGUUGCAAUUCGGUUGUGUCAGUGGGUGUCUCUUCCAUUGUUCUUCUUUUUCUACCUGCAAUCAAUGUAAAAAAAAACACAACAACAACAAUGAUCUAAUUCCUAUUUAUUUUCUUUCUGUUUUGGUUUUUUGA